GACGAACGCUGGCGGCGUGCCUAAUACAUGCAAGUCGAGCGAAUGACGAGAAGCUUGCUUCUCUGAUUUAGCGGCGGACGGGUGAGUAACACGUGGGCAACCUGCCCUACAGAUCGGGAUAACUCAGGGAAACCUGGGCUAAUACCGGAUAAUCCUUCGAAUCACAUGUUUUGAAGUUGAAAGGCGCUUCGGCGUCACUGUAGGCUCGGCCCGCGGUGCAUUAGCUAGUUGGUGGGGUAACGGCAUACCAAGGCAACGAUGCAUAGCCGACCUGAGAGGGUGAUCGGCCACAUUGGGACUGAGACACGGCCCAAACUCCUACGGGAGGCAGCAGUAGGGAAUCUUCCACAAUGGACGAAAGUCUGAUGGAGCAACGCCGCGUGAGUGAUGAAGGUUUUCGGAUCGUAAAACUCUGUUGUAAGGGAAGAACAAGUACGUUAGGAAAUGAACGUACCUUGACGGUACCUUAUUAGAAAGCCACGGCUAACUACGUGCCAGCCGCCGCAGUAA
rnacentral:rRNA from 1 species